UUGCUCCCACGACAAAGUCUCCGCGGACCAAGGACACCGCCCAUUUUUCUGGCCAUUAAUUCUCGGCUGAAGAACCGCUUUUUUGCAUUUUUGUACGCAAUAGAUAUGUUAUGGCGCAAUUUCGAGGUGACGAAAUCACCUUACCUCGGUAACUAGCGAAUAGCUGAGAGGGCUAACUACGAACUAACCAAGUGGAAUUGGAGAGUUGUGCGGGGGUGACUGAACGGAUGAAACCCCCGCAUAUCGAUUAAAGAAUCGGAAAAAAUGGAGGAAGCAGACUGCAUUCAGCCAUGGAGGUUGAAUUGCUGGGUAUUGUGGAAUAUCUACCGUGGGUCAGAGAAAGAGAUCGUCGGGUUGAUUCCAGGGCUUUGCAUGGCACUACCAAGGGAGUUAGUUGGGUGAAAACAUGGG
rnacentral:sRNA from 2 species